AAGAAAAUAAGUCAUUAUUAUGAGAAACUAAGUCAAUAUAACGAGAAACUAAGUCAUAAUUAUGAGAAAGUUUCUCAUUAUUUUGACUUACAGAAUUAUAAUUUUCUCAACUCUGGCGGAAACGGGCUUCCAUACUAUAGAAACCGCCUAAAAUUAAGUAUAAAGAGGACAAGAAAAACUGCUUUGUUGUUCUCAUCCAAAGACGUUCAACUGCUAAUUUUAGCUGACAAAACUUCCCUCUCACCUACGACAUCAGUGUCAUUCGCAGUAGGUCGGCACAAAAAACUGUCUAUUUUAGGUAGUUUUUGUGUCGCGUCUAAAUUUUCCACCCUCUCUUUCCUCUUUAAGGCCCCACUUUUAUGUUUGUAUUUGUCCAUCCUUUAAUGUUCUUAGCUAGCCACUAAUCUCUCAUCACAUGCAGUUUCUCUCUUUUUUUCAAAUGGCUGUGCGUAGCAUUUUCAUGUAAUGCAGCGUCAUUUAAAAUUGACAGCGCGUAGUUCUACGGCUGCCACACUGCCGCAUGGUGCAAAAAAUAACAAAUGCACACGAGAAAUAACAGAGAAAUUAGCAAUUACAGAGAAGCAACAAAUUACUGCUCAUGACAUGCAUACAAAAAUAUAUAUAUUUAUUGUGGCCACGAAUUAAAAAUCAAUUCUCUUGUUACCGUGGGCGGGCCUCCAAUCAGCCCGGGCCCAUUUGCACGUGCAUAUCCUGCAUGCCCAGACGCUACGCAACUGCUGCCUGUAACCUUCGUCAUCGCGUUCAUGUGUAUUAACAGUAGGGAUGUAACGAUUAACCACGAGCCGGUUAAAAAUUGAUUCAAAUAUGUGACAAUACAAAUUGGUUGAGAUGCUAAACAAAUCGCAAUUCAUUUAAGGGUAGGAGUUUAUAUGAAUCCAUGUCUGAGGGUUACUUACUGUCUUUAGAAAAGUUUAGAUGGUAUUUUUUCAUCUUGCCUUCAUAAUGCAUAUUAAAGUUCAUAAGUUCAGCGCUGCUUUUUUUUUACAGUGGGAACCAAGGAAACGCUUUAAGCACUGCUUACUGGCAGAGUGAAUCUGCGUCUCAUUCAGCUCGUCUGCUGUUUCAUGCAGAUAUUUUUAUGUAUAGUUUACAAAAACUUAAGUCUGUCAAGAUCCGGUCAAUGAACUUCCAUUAAAAAACUGUCUAUUUUAGGUAGUUUUUGUGUCGCAUCUAACUUUUCCACCCUCUCUUUCCUCUUUAAGGCCCCACUUUUAUGUUUGUGAAUCCAUAAUCCAUCCUUUAAUGUUCUUAGCUAGCCACUAAUCUCUCAUCACAUGCAGUUUCUCUCUUUUUUUUUCAUUUGGAAAAAAGCUCGUCUGCUGUUUCAUGCAGAUAUUUUUAUGUAUAGUUUCUAAAAACUGAAGUCUGUCAAGAUCCAGUCAAUGAACUUCCAUUAAUUCACCACCAGAGAUCAUCAUCCACUACACAGACUCUCACACUACACAGUAUACCCUGGACUACAUUUCCCAUGCUCCAUUGGACCAAUCACAAGUUCACCGAAUGACAAUCACACCAUGCACCUGAGACCAAUCACACACACACAGCAUAAUCAUCAGACACAUUUUAUAAGCAUUGGACUUCCUCUCACACACUGCCGAGUAUUGUUCUGCAUAUAUCCCUCUCCUAGCGAUAGCUGCGAUUCAAAAGCCUUUUCGUGUUAGUUCUCUUAGUCUUGUCUUAGUUUUUAGUUUUCAUAGUAUUGUUUCCGUUCUUGUUCUCACAGUAUUGUCACUGUUUCUAGUUUUCAUAGUCUUGUUUCAGAUUAUAGUUUUCAUAGUCUUAUCUCAGUUCAUAGUUUUCAUAGUUUAGUCUUUUUCUUGCCUUGCCCUGUUACUCGUGUUUUGACCCUUUUGCUCUGGAUUAGAAGCUUGUCAGCAGAUGGAAGCAAAAAGGGCUCCAAAAUCUCCUGGUAGAAUGCUGCAUUGACUUCGGACUUGAUAAAACACAAUGGACCAACACCAGCAGACGUCAUGGCACCCAUAUCAUCUCUGACUUCCUUUUCUUGAAGAUUUCUAAGCGUAGUGACUCUUGAUGCGCUGACUCCGACUUCAGUCCACUCCUUGUGAAGCUCUCCCAAGUUCUUGAACCAGCUUUUCCUGACAAUCAUCCCUGUUGCUUGUUGCUUUUCCUACCACACUUUUUCCUUCCAGUCAACUUUCUAUGAAUAUAUUUUGAUACAGCACUGUGUGAACAGCCAGACCUUUUAGCAAUUACCUUCUGUGGGUUAACCUCCUUGUGGAGGGUGUUGAUGGUUGUCUUCUGGACAACUGUCAAGUCAGUAGUCUUUCCCAUAAUCGUGGUUGCAUGUUCUAAACUAGCCCAAGAGGUACCCAGUAUUUAUACUCAAAAUUAAUCAAACUAAUCGAGCUCAAAUUGAAAUAUUCUAAUUUUUUGAGAAACUGAUUUUUAUUUUCCUAAGCUGUAAGUCGUAACCAUCAGAAUUAAAACAAAAAACUCUUGAAAUAUUUCAGUUUGUGUGCAAUGAAUCUAGGAUAUAAGAAAGUUUUCUAUUUUAAAAUUAAAUUACAAAAAAUAAAGACCUUUUCCAUGAUAUUCA
ensembl:lncRNA